rnacentral:piRNA from 1 species
UGCAUUCCUGGGAGGGUUCUGAAGGC